UCAAUGGCUUUUUUCAAAGCCAUAGCCCAACCAAACAGACUCGAAAG
rfam:Zea mays cultivar B73 chromosome 5, whole genome shotgun sequence.